rnacentral:rRNA from 1 species
AGUUUGAUUAUGGCUCAGGAUGAACGCUGGCGGCGUGCUUAACACAUGCAAGUCGAACGAAGCAACUUAUCACGAUCCCUUCGGGGUGACGAUUUGUUGACUGAGUGGCGGACGGGUGAGUAACGCGUGGGUAACCUGCCUUGUACAGGGGGACAACAGUUGGAAACGACUGCUAAUACCGCAUAAGCGCACAGCUUCGCAUGAAGCAGUGUGAAAAGUUUUUCGGUACAAGAUGGACCCGCGUCUGAUUAGCUAGUUGGUGAGGUAACGGCCCACCAAGGCGACGAUCAGUAGCCGACCUGAGAGGGUGACCGGCCACAUUGGGACUGAGACACGGCCCAAACUCCUACGGGAGGCAGCAGUGGGGAAUAUUGCACAAUGGGCGAAAGCCUGAUGCAGCGAACCGCCGCGUGAGCGAAGAAGUAUUUCGGUAUGUAAAGCUCUAUCAGCAGGGAAGAUAAUGACGGUACCUGACUAAGAAGCACCGGCUAAAUACGUGCCAGCAGCAGC